AGCAUAGCGAUUGGGAUAAGUCCCUUGGAAGAGGGCAGCAUGGAGGGUGAUACUCCCGUCUCUGCUCAGAUCUGUUGUGUGUACGAUACGCUUUCUUUGAGUCGAGUUGCUUGGGAAUGCAGCUCAAAGUAGGUGGUAAAUUCCAUCUAAAGCUAAAUGUAGGUGCGAGACCGAUAGCGAACAAGUACCGUGAGGGAAAGAUGAAAAGAACUUUGAAAAGAGAGUUAAAGAGUACCUGAAACUGUUGAAAGGGAAUCGUAUCGUUUCCAGUGUCUUAUCCUUUGCAUAUUUCAUUGGCGGAUGCUAGUACGUGGGUUAUGGGGGAGUCGUUCAUUCGGCACUCUGUUUUCUAUGUUGCUGGUGUUUGCUGGUGCCCUGUGCAUUGGUGUGACGUCAGAGUCAGUUUGUACGCCGUGGGAGAUGGCUGUUGAGGAGGUAUUCCAUUCAUGUAUUUGUUUGGUUGUUAUAUCUCAGCAGUUAGUAGUCAUGGUUGAGACUGAGGUGCC
rnacentral:rRNA from 2 species